rnacentral:lncRNA from 1 species
GAUGGUGGCUAUCAAUUUUGUGGGGACGACUUUGACGAUCCGACUACAAACGUGCACGAUGUUGCGCCUUAGCAAUCGCUAAACCAAUCUCCAAGAGGUUAUUAACAACGUCGGAGCAUGAUGAACCUGACCACGAAGGUCUAUUCCUGCAAGCAAUCGAAGAACAAGCAAGAAUAUGCUAUUGCAAUCCAAAUAUUGUGAAUAUAGAUGAAGUAUUAAUAAG